rnacentral:rRNA from 1 species
AGUUUGAUCAUGGCUCAGAUUGAACGCUGGCGGCAGGCCUAACACAUGCAAGUCGGGCGGUAACAGGGAGAAACUUGCUUCUCUGCUGACGAGCGGCGGACGGGUGAGUAAUGUAUGGGGAUCUGCCUGAUGGAGGGGGAUAACUACUGGAAACGGUAGCUAAUACCGCAUAAUGUCCACGGACCAAAGCGGGGGACCUUCGGGCCUCGCACCAUCAGAUGAACCCAUAUGGGAUUAGCUUGUAGGUGAGGUAACGGCUCACCUAGGCGACGAUCCCUAGCUGGUCUGAGAGGAUGAUCAGCCACACUGGGACUGAGACACGGUCCAGACUCCUACGGGAGGCAGCAGUGGGGAAUAUUGCACAAUGGGCGCAAGCCUGAUGCAGCCAUGCCGCGUGUAUGAAGAAGGCCUUCGGGUUGUAAAGUACUUUCAGUCGGGAGGAAGGUGUCAAGGUUAAUAACCUUGGCAAUUGACGUUACCCAGAGAAGAAG